AAUGAAGACAACUUAAUAGUCCUUUUUUAUAAAUUUGAACAAGUUUUUGUGGUGUUACGCUGCUUUAAUUGAAUGAAAAUUUUUAAAUAUGGCUUUAAGCGAAUUGUUAUUAUUAGGAGGUAGUUCUCAUGACUACAGGUACAGUUAAAUGGUUUAACGCAGAAAAAGGAUUCGGAUUCAUCACUGUUGAUGGAGGGAACGAUGUAUUCGCUCACUUCUCAGCAAUCACUGGAGAAGGAUUCAAAACUUUAGAAGAAGGUCAAAAAGUUUCAUUCGAAAUCGUUGAAGGAAACCGUGGACCUCAAGCAGCUAACAUCGUUAAAUUAUAAUUUUAACAAUAAGCUAAAAAACUGUGGAUAGUUUCUA
rnacentral:sRNA from 1 species